UACGUAGGGUGCAAGCGUUAAUCGGAAUUACUGGGCGUAAAGCGUGCGCAGGCGGUUAUGCAAGACAGAGGUGAAAUCCCCGGGCUCAACCUGGGAACUGCCUUUGUGACUGCAUGGCUAGAGUACGGUAGAGGGGGAUGGAAUUCCGCGUGUAGCAGUGAAAUGCGUAGAUAUGCGGAGGAACACCGAUGGCGAAGGCAAUCCCCUGGACCUGUACUGACGCUCAUGCACGGAAGCGUGGGGAGCAAACAGGAUUAGAUAC
rnacentral:rRNA from 1 species